GCCACGGUAGCAUAGUGAUUUGAGUGUUUGACUAUGACUCGGGAGACCAGGGUUCGAAUCUCAGUUCAGCCA